rnacentral:lncRNA from 1 species
AUGAAGCAGCAGGAUAGUAAUGAUGACACUGCAGAUGUUUCACUAAUUGAUGCAGAAGAGGAGACAACUAAUAGACCAAAAAAAUCCAAAAAUCAGAUAUUCAGUGGUAUCGUUUUCCACUUAUUCUUUCAAGUCAGUGCAAUCAUUGUCUAUCUUCUCUGUGAGUUACUCAGCAGCAGCUUUAUUGCCUGUAUGAUGACGAUUAUCUUGUUGUUGUCAUGUGACUUUUGGGCAGCAAAGAAUAUCACAGGUAGACUAAUGGUUGGCCUAUGUUGGUGGAGUCACAUUGAUGAAGAUGGAAAGAACCAUUGGGUGUUUGAAUCUAGAAAGUCUUCCUCUCAAGAUAAUAAAACUGUGUCAGAAGCUGAAUCAAGAAUCUUUUGAUUGGGACUUACAGUCUGUGCAGUGCUUUGGGUGAUAUUUGCCUUUAGUGCCUUGUUCUCCUUCAGAGUAAACUGGUUAGCAGUGGUUAUCAUGGGUAUGGUGUUAGCAGAUGCCAACCUAUAUGGUUACAUCAGGUGUAAGGUAAGCAGCAGAAAUAAUUUAACCAACAUGGCUACCUCGUAUCUUGUAAAGCAGUUUUUAAGACGAAACACUGGAGAUGAUCGGAGAAGC